AUUGAACGCUGGCGGCAGGCCUAACACAUGCAAGUCGAACGAGUGGCGGACGGGUGAGUAAUGUCUGGGAAACUGCCUGAUGGAGGGGGAUAACUACUGGAAACGGUAGCUAAUACCGCAUACAAUCAGAUGUGCCCAGAUGGGAUUAGCUGGUUGGUGGGGUAAUGGCUCACCAAGGCGACGAUCCCUAGCGGGGCUGAGAGGAUGACCACCACCGCUGGAACGUAGACACGGGCCAGACUCCUACGGUAGGCAGCAGUGGGGAAUUUUGCACAAUGGGCGCAAGCCUGAUGCAGCCAUGCCGCGUGUAGGAAGAAGUCCUUCGGGUUGUAAAGCACUGUCAGCGGGGAGGCGUUACUCGCAGAAGAAGCACCGGCUAACUCCGUGCCAGCAGCCGCGGUAAUUC
rnacentral:rRNA from 1 species